GAUGAACGCUGGCGGCGUGCCUAAUACAUGCGAGUCGAGCGAACGGACGAGAAGCUUGCUUCUCUGAUGUUAGCGGCGGACGGGUGAGUAACACGUGGAUAACCUACCUAUCAGACUGGGAUAACUUCGGGAAACCGUAGCUAAUACCGGAUGAUAUUUUGAACCGCAUGGUUCAAAAGUGAAAGACGGUCUUGCUGUCACGUCUAGAUGGAUCUCGGCUGCAUUAGCGGGUUGGUAAGGUAACGGCUUAUCAAGGCAACGAUGCGUAGCCGAACUGUGUGGGUGAUCGGCCACCCUGGAACUUGGACACGGUCCAGACUCCUACGGGAGGCAGCAGUAGCGAAUCUUCCGCAAUGGGCGGAAGCCUGACGGAGUAACGCCGCGUGAGAUAUGAAGGUCCUCGGAUCGUAAAACUCUGUUAUUAGGGAAGAACAUAUGUGUAAUGUACUGUGCACAUUUUGACGGUACCUAAUCAGAAAGCCCCGGCUAACUACGUG
rnacentral:rRNA from 1 species